rnacentral:rRNA from 1 species
AUCGAACGCUGGCGGCAUGCCUUACACAUGCAAGUCGAACGGCAGCACGGGAGCAAUCCUGGUGGCGAGUGGCGAACGGGUGAGUAAUGUAUCGGAACGUGCCCAGUCGUGGGGGAUAACGUAGCGAAAGCUACGCUAAUACCGCAUACGAUCAAUGGAUGAAAGCGGGGGAUCGCAAGACCUCGCGCGAUUGGAGCGGCCGAUAUCAGAUUAGGUAGUUGGUGGGGUAAAGGCUCACCAAGCCGACGAUCUGUAGCUGGUCUGAGAGGACGACCAGCCACACUGGGACUGAGACACGGCCCAGACUCCUACGGGAGGCAGCAGUGGGGAAUUUUGGACAAUGGGCGAAAGCCUGAUCCAGCAAUGCCGCGUGCAGGAUGAAGGCCUUCGGGUUGUAAACUGCUUUUGUACGGAACGAAACGGCGAACUCUAAUACAGUUUGCUAAUGACGGUACCGUAAGAAUAAGCACCGGCUAACUACGUGCCAGCAGCCGCGGUAA